AACGAACGCUGGCGGCAUGCCUAACACAUGCAAGUCGAACGAGACCUUCGGGUCUAGUUGCGCACGGGUGCGUAACGCGUGGGAACCUGCCCUUAGGUUCGGAAUAACUCCCCGAAAGGGGUGCUAAUACCGGAUAAUGUCUUCGGACCAAAGAUUUAUCGCCUUUGGAUGGGCCCGCGUUGGUUUAGCUAGUUGGUAGGGUAAAAGCCUACCAAGGCGACGAUCCAUAGCUGGUCUGAGAGGAUGAUCAGCCACACUGGGACUGAGACACGGCCCAGACUCCUACGGGAGGCAGCAGUGGGGAAUAUUGGACAAUGGGCGAAGGCCUGAUGCAGCAAUGCCGCGUGAGUGAUGAAGGCCUUAGGGUUGUAAAGCUCUUUUACCCGGGAUGAUAAUGACAGUACCGGGAGAAUAAGCUCCGGCUAACUCCGUG
rnacentral:rRNA from 1 species